AGUGAACGCUGGCGGUAGGCCUAACACAUGCAAGUCGAACGGCAGCACAGUAAGAGCUUGCUCUUACGGGUUGCGAGUGGCGGACGUGUGAGGAAUACAACCGAAUCUACUUUUUCGUGGGGGUUCACGUAGGGAAACUUACGCUAAUACCGCAUCCCCCCUACGGGUGAAGGCAGGGGAUCUUCGCACCGUGCGCGGUUGAAUUCGCCGAUGUCGGAUUAGCUGGUUGGCGGGGUAAAGGCCCACCAAGGCGACGAUCCGUAGCUGGUCUGAGAGGAUGGUCAGCCACACUGGAACUGAGACACGGUCCAGGCUCCUACGGGAGGCAGCAGUGGGGAAUAGUGGACAAUGGGCGCAAGUAUGAUCCAGCCAUACCGCGUGGGUGAAGGAGGCCCUCGGGGUGUAAAGCCCUUUUGUUGGGAAAGAAAAGCAGCAGGUUAAUACCCAGCUGUUCUGACGGUACCCAAAGAAUAAGCACCGGCUAACUUCGUG
rnacentral:rRNA from 1 species